rnacentral:piRNA from 1 species
UAUAUAUAUAUAACUGACUUCUUGGGCAA